UACGUAGGUGGCAAGCGAUACUCGGAAUCACUAGGCGUAAAGCGCAGGUAGGCGGUUCGGUAAGUCUUUUGUGAAAGCUCCCGGCUUAACUGGGAGAGGCCAAGGGAAACUGCCGAGCUAGAGUGUGGUAGGGGAUACUGGAAUUCCUGGUGUAGCGGUGAAAUGCGUAGAUAUCAUUUGGAACGCCAAUGGUGAAAACAGGUAGCUGGGGAGUGUGC
rnacentral:rRNA from 1 species